rnacentral:rRNA from 1 species
GUGUCGGAUACUGGGCGUAAGAGCUCGUAGGUGGUUUGUCGCGUUGUUCGUGAAAUCUCACGGCUUAACUGUGAGCGUGCGGGCGAUACGGGCAGACUUGAGUACUGCAGGGGAGACUGGAAUUCCUGGUGUAGCGGUGGAAUGCGCAGAUAUCAGGAGGAACACCGGUGGCGAAGGCGGGUCUCUGGGCAGUAACUGACGCUGAGGAGCGAAAGCGUGGGGAGCGAACAGGAUUAGAUACCCUGGUAGUCCACGCCGUAAACGGUGGGUACUAGGUGUGGGUUUCCUUCCUUGGGAUCCGUGCCGUAGCUAACGCAUUAAGUACCCCGCCUGGGGAGUACGGCCGCAAGGCUAAAACUCAAAGAAAUUGACGGGGGCCCGCACAAGCGGCGGAGCAUGUGGAUUAAUUCGAUGCAACGCGAAGAACCUUACCUGGGUUUGACAUGCACAGGACGCCGGCAGAGAUGUCGGUUCCCUUGUGGCCUGUGUGCAGGUGGUGCAUGGCUGUCGUCAGCUCGUGUCGUGAGAUGUUGGGUUAAGUCCCGCAACGAGCGCAACCCUUGUCUCAUGUUGCCAGCGGGUAAUGCCGGGGACUCGUGAGAGACUGCCGGGGUCAACUCGGAGGAAGGUGGGGAUGACGUCAAGUCAUCAUGCCCCUUAUGUCCAGGGCUUCACACAUGCUACAAUGGCCGGUACAAAGGGCUGCGAUGCCGCGAGGUUAAGCGAAUCCUUUUAAAGCCGGUCUCAGUUCGGAUCGGGGUCUGCAACUCGACCCCGUGAAGUCGGAGUCGCUAGUAAUCGCAGAUCAGCAACGCUGCGGUGAAUACGUUCCCGGGCCUUGUACACACCGCCCGCCACGUCAUGAAAGUCGGUAACACCCGAAGCCAGUGGCCUAACCCUUUGGGAGGGAGCUGUCGAAAGUGGGAUCGGCGAUUGGACGAAGUCGUAACAA